rnacentral:rRNA from 1 species
GACGAACGCUGGCGGCGCGCCUAACACAUGCAAGUCGAACGGAGCUGAGAGAAGCUUGCUUUUCUUAGCUUAGUGGCGAACGGGUGAGUAACGCGUGAGUAACCUGCCCUGGAGUGGGGGACAACAGUUGGAAACGACUGCUAAUACCGCAUAAGCCCACGAUCCGGCAUCGGAUUGAGGGAAAAGGAUUUAUUCGCUUCAGGAUGGACUCGCGUCCAAUUAGCUAGUUGGUGAGGUAACGGCCCACCAAGGCGACGAUUGGUAGCCGGACUGAGAGGUGGAACGGCCACAUUGGGACUGAGACACGGCCCAGACUCCUACGGGAGGCAGCAGUGGGGGAUAUUGCACAAUGGGGGAAACCCUGAUGCAGCGACGCCGCGUGGAGGAAGAAGGUUUUCGGAUUGUAAACUCCUGUCGUUAGGGACGAUAAUGACGGUACCUAACAAGAAAGCACCGGCUAACAACGUG